rnacentral:lncRNA from 1 species
GCAAUUUGACAGGUGAGGUGAAGUGUUUCUCGGGAUUUCCUAGGAAUGACUUGAGCGAUUUGGGGCGAAGGGACGAAAGACUCUGCUCCUUAAGAAGAGAACCGGGAAGGAUGCUGUUUGGAACCAGGAUUGGGGUGGUCGCAGUCACAGCUACUCGGACUGCUUGUAGUGGUAUAAAUAGUUGAAUAUUUCCUAUUUUCUGGACCCAGCUGGUUUAUAACUUCAGAAGAAAUAAUGGAAAGCCAAGAAUUUAUUGUUCUAUAUACUCAUCAAAAGAUGAAGAAGUCAAAAGUGUGGCAAGAUGGAAUUCUGAAGAUCACUCACUUAGGAAACAAAACAGAGUCUUGCUCUGUUGCCCAGGCUGGAGUGCAGUGGCACAGUCUUGGCUCACUACAACCUCUGCAUCCAAGGUUCAAGUGAUUAUCCUGCCUCAGCCUCCUGAGUAGCUGGGAUUACAAGCGCCCACCACCAUGCCUGGCUAAUUUUUGUGUUUUUAGUAGAGAUGGGGUUUCACCAUGUUGGCCAGGCUGGUCUCAAACUCCUGACCUCAAGUGAUCCACCCACCUCAGCCUCCUAAAGUGCUGGUAUUACAGGCAAUUUUAUAUGAUGACAAAGGAGCAUGUUUGGAGAGUCUGUUUCUUAAAUGCCUUGAGGUGAAACCUGGAGAUGACUUAGAAAGUGAUCGAUACUUAAUCACAGUUGAAGAGGUUAAAGUUGCUGGAGCCAUAGGU